rnacentral:rRNA from 1 species
GAUGAACGCUGGCGGCGUGCCUAAUACAUGCAAGUCGAGCGAACAGACGAGGAGCUUGCUCCUCUGACGUUAGCGGCGGACGGGUGAGUAACACGUGGAUAACCUACCUAUCAGACUGGGAUAACUUCGGGAAACCGGAGCUAAUACCGUAUAACAUGUUGAACCGCAUGGUUCAACAGUGAAAGACGGCCUUGCUGUCACUUAUCGAUGGAUCCGCGCCGCAUUAGCUAGUUGGUAAGGUAACGGCUUACCAAGGCAACGAUGCGUAGCCGACCUGAGAGGGUGGUCGGCCACACGGGAACUGAAACACGGUCCAGACUCCUACGGGAGGCAGCAGUAGGGAAUCUUACGCAAUGGGCGAAAGCCUGACGGAGCAACGCCGCGCGAGUGAAGAAGGUCUUCGGAUCGUAAAACUCUGUUAUGAGGGAAGAACAAAUGUGUAAGUAACUAUGCACGUCUUGACGGUACCUAAUCAGAAAGCCACGGCUAACUACGUG